AGAACGAACGCUGGCGGCAUGCCUAACACAUGCAAGUCGAACGUGAUCCAGGCUUCGGCCUGGUGAAAGUGGCAGACGGGUGAGUAACGCGUGGGAACCUGCCCUGUGGUAGGGAAUAACCGUGGGAAACUGCGGCUAAUACCCUAUGAGUCCUUCGGGAGAAAGAUUUAUCGCCAUAGGAGGGGCCCGCGUCGGAUUAGGUAGUUGGUGGGGUAACGGCCUACCAAGCCUUCGAUCCGUAGCUGGUCUGAGAGGAUGAUCAGCCACACUGGGACUGAGAUACGGCCCAGACUCCUACGGGAGGCAGCAGUGGGGAAUAUUGGACAAUGGGGGGCAACCCUGAUCCAGCAAUGCCGCGUGGAUGAUGAAGGCCUUCGGGUUGUAAAGUCCUUUCGGCGGGAAGAUGAUGACGGUACCGCAGAAGAAGCCCCGGCUAACUUCGUGCCAGCAGCCGC
rnacentral:rRNA from 1 species